CUUAAAAUAUGCCCUAAGUAACAUUUUUUUACCUUAUUUUUUUGUUUUUUUGUUUGUUUGUUUUCAGAUUACUGGUAAACCAAUAAGCAUAAAAUAAUCUUCACGUUAAACAUAAAGAUGGAAAGAGAUCCUUUAUGAUUUCCAUAAACAUGAAGAGGCAGUUGCAUCUCUUGCCUCCUUCCUAGAACCUGGCUUUGCUGCUCUGUAGUUCCAGGGGUUGAAAGUGCUGAGACAUGAGUAUUGGAAUGUAUGGAAAUCUAAGACCAGGACAUCUGAACUUAACCAUAAGAUGAGUUCUUAUUCCAACAUACCACAGCAAUUACUGUGAGAUAGACAGAAAUGAUCCUAUGUGCAGACAGUCCAGGCAAGACCUCAGAAGAUCAGUGGCAGAAGGUGCUCAGGCAGAAUAAGCAACUCCAGGGUGCUUUCUUCUUUGUACACAUCUUGAAAACUUGGCUGGCAUUUACAAGGACAAGGGCAAUGUUCCUUGUACUGUGGCAAGGACAAGAUGCACUGUUUUCAAGGGCUAAGCUAGCCCUGAACAAUGUGGACUAGAAGUUUUUCCUUCCCUGCUAACUAUGGAGUUCUCAGUCACAAACAAAAAUUACUUGAGUCAUACAGAAAAUGAAAAUAUAUUUAUUUAAUCCUGAAAGUAACAUCUGAAACUUCUCUUUUUAUUUUUCAGGGUGAGAAGAGUUAAGGUCUCGAUUUUCCAGGGAACUCAGUUUGGCUAUCAAAAUUUUAUUCUUGUUCUUUCACCUGCACACAAUUAUGGCUAGAAAUGUGUAUUACUUUUUCCCUGGUUGAAGGCUAAGCAUGCAUUUGUUGGCACAACCAGAAAAUUAUCUAUCCAAGUAAUAUAAAACAAUUGUAAAGAUAUUUGAAGCCCACUUUAUUCACAAUUACAGUAAAAUUAAGGGAACGUGAGGAAUGAGGUAUGGCUUCGUCUUUGUACAAAGUAGAGACUUCUAGAAAACACACUUAAGUACAUUCCUCCUCUUGCUGGAAGGUUUCUGAGGUAGAAAAAAAGUCUCCUGAGUCUUUUCUGUGGCAGAAAGGUUGCCACUGUGUAAAAGCUGCAAUAAGGAUUGUCAGAUAUAACAAAUUUAUGAACUCUGUAUGUUAUUUAGGAAGUGAAAGGAAGAUUUUCUUGAAUGCAUUUGAUCUAACAGGUAAAGACCAAGGAAGAAGCAGUGCAAAAACAUCACAACUUCUCAGAAGAAAAAUUUGCAAGACAGAGACACAAAGGCACUGAUGUCCAGGUUUUCUGCCACGGGUGGUUGCAACCCAGGUUGAAGGUGAAAGACAUAUGCAAAAUCAGCCCAGAGGACUGGGUAGGGCUGAGAGCCCAGCUCAUCUUGAUCAAAGAGAUCAGGUGGGUCAGAAGCACAGUUUCAUAGAGACUUCAGAGGCUGUGUGAAUUAGGAGAUAAAUCCAAGAACCCCAACUUCAGUAGUUUAUGUAAAAACAGACUGAGAUUACAAAAAAUCCAAGAACCCCAACUUCAGUAGUUUAUGUAAAAACAGACUGAGAUUACAAACAGCUCUUGUAGAUUAUGUUUAUAACAGGGUGAAAAAAAAAAAAAAAAAAAGACAAGGUUUUCAGAAAAGCAGUUUAUUUUCUGUUAUUUUCUGCCUCUCAAUGCUGAUACAUAGUUUUAGCCACUGUGUGGGUGGUUAAGAAAAUAUCACAGUCAGUAAAUGAACACACUUUUUUUUUUUUUUUAAGCAAACUUUUUCUUAUUAAAACAGUGAGGUCCAAAAUGCUGCAUGCUCCUACUGACAUCAGUACAAACCUGCCAAAGCUGUUAUGCUCCAGCAGGAUUAAAUCCUGCUGGCCAUGUCUCCAGCUAUUUUUUUAAUUUGUAAAUUAAGUGUGAAUCCACUGUGGUCAGUGCAGGUAUUAAUCAUCAUGUCGGUGUAACAGUAAACAGCGUUUGACCCUUUAUUGCACUCGUUCACCUUAUUGCACAUGUUCCUACCCUAUGAUGAAUGUACUGUGCCAAAAUCUGUGUGGAAAUGCUGAUCGUGCACCACAGGACUUUGGGAACAGUUGUUCAUCCCCAGACCUGCUUUAGGAAACUGUUCAGUGGUUUGUGCUCUGUGACUGUGAGGUGUAACAUGUCUGUAACAUCACAUGUUUCAUCAGGAUCAAAAUGUGUUUGCUGAAGCACUUUGCCACCACCUGAGACCUUUCUCCCUCUCCCACAGCUUUACCUUGUCAGAUUUGGUAAUGCCAGCUCCUGAGGAGCUGUGGUUCAGCUCAGAACAUUGAGCAGCAUCUCCAGAGGACAUAUUAAGGAAAAGACAGCUCUGAGGUGGUAGCAGACAUGGAAAAAAUUAUGCACCAGAUACUUGGAAAUGAGCCUUAAUGCCUGGUGGGAGGCAAGGUUUUUAUGGUAGAAUGGACUAACAACUACCAUAUUGAAGCAUCUGUAGGAAAACAUUAGGGAUCCAUGCGAAGAUAGGAGGGGUUAUAAGAAGAGUUCAUAUUACAUUAUAUUAUUUUCUUUCUCUGAAGUAUAAAGCUGAGUUUCAUAUUGAGAUACAUUCAGGUAGUUGAAAUCAUUCUUAACAAAUUGUUUCUGAGGGUAAUAAUACAGAUUAUAAAAUGUGUCUAGAAGAACUUGUUCAUCUUUAAAAUACAAUAGAGAAAAAGUCCUCACUGAAAAGUUGGUUCCUUCUGUUUGUAAACACACAUGCAAAGGGAAUUUGGAUGUAUUAAACAAGUCCCAGGUGCCAGUCUAUCUAGGGAAUAGCUGCUUCCCAUGUGCCUUGCCUUUUUUUUUUUAUGAUGAGUUCUGCAGGGCUGGUUAAAAUAGAAGGAAAAAUAAAGAGAGAAUUUUAAAGACAACAGAAUAUUACUUUUGUAACUGAACUGAAAGUUCUGGAAUGUUCAAGAUGAAUUUAUUGUUGUCGUUAUUAUUAGGAAAGCAAGCAAGGUCAAGGACACAAGCCAUAAACUUUACUUAGAGUGGGCCACUGCUUGUUUUUUUGUGUGCAUUAGAGCAGGUGGCAGAUAUGCUGCGGGGAGGAAGAGUGGAGGUAUAUGUCUGCACAACACAAAUGUAGGCAGGAACCCCCUGAGGAUGUGAGCUGGGAGCAAGCCAGAAACAUCACGAAUGCAUUCAUGCACUGCUCAGGCUGUAUAUGAAACCUCCCAGCAGGUAAAAACAACAGGCUGUGCCCAUUACUGGUUCUCAUUUGCCUGUAAACCUUGAAGAAGUAGCAGUGAAUAAACAAGGGUGUGUAUUUUAUUCUGUGUUCACCAGAAAUAGUGUUGCAUAGAUUUAGUCACAGUAUAAACUGUUCUGGAGAGAUUUUACUUUGUACUAUCAGAGCUUUUCCUAAAUUAAAAGUUCUAGAAUAAAGAAAACAUUUGGGAAUGAGAGUUGCAAUCUUGCCAGUGGCUUUAUGAACAUGAUUUUUAAUACCUUUGGAUUUUAAGGCUCUUCAAGCGUUUUCUUUGAAAACUUCAAUUUUCUGUUCUGGGGGCCGAGUUUGAAUUUAAUGAAUUAAAGUAUGAAAGCACUAGCAAAGUAAAUUGUUAAGUCUUGAGAGCAACUGUCAUUCAGAACUGGCUAUCAAUAAGAAACUGCUUUCAAUAGGCUACAGCUUUCUAAAUGUUUAACUGAAAAAGUUGACCUAUAUAGAUAGUAAUCUACAAAAAUACAGUUAUGUUAAAACUGCACUGUGCCUACUUGUGUCCUCACACAGGCUGACUAUUUUCUGUUAGCUAAAUUCCUAUUUAUCAGCUUAAUUCACAAUAAAUAUAAAAAUAUAGAAUGUACUUCAGAUAUAGCUAAUAUAAAAAUCUUAGUAAAAUUUAGAGAAAAAAAUUGAGUCACCAAAAGCCUGCUGAGAUAAAUUGGGAUGAAAACAAAAUUUCUUAUUGCUCAGGCUUUGUUCCUGUGUCUGUCCUGGAGAUCCCUGGUAUGCUUUUGUUCUGAAGACUGGGAUGCUACAGAUUGCAUAGGCAGGGCAGCACUGCAAAUGAUUUAGAUUUAUGAUUUUUUUUUCCUCCUGCUUGAGUUAGUAAAGGAAUUUUUCUUAUGCUGAAGGGAGGUUACCCAACGGUUUUAUGGUGUAAUAAGUCUGAGAUGGAGAAACUGUGCAUCAGCUGUCCCAAGCAUUUACUUCUCCCAGAAAUUAGAAAGGUUUAAAGGUUUAAAGUAAUAAAGUCACUAUUUAAUCAGGACAGACAAGACUCUGUGAUGUAGUUUGACCAGGGAGCUGCACAGGAGAAGCAAGCAUCGAUACUAGAUGUAGCUUCUAUGAGAGAUGGUAGCAGCUUUGCAGAAUAACUGUCUUCAUUUUUAAGGCCAAUCAAAUUACAGAUUUUUUCUUUUUUCCAUUUUUUACAAUAAUAUUCUGUCAGUUCCCAGAAGGCAGCAUUAAAGAAAAGAUAAGACUUAAUUUCAGAUGUUAUUGGGUUACUCAAUGACAUCUGAAGAAAACAGGGCUUACAAGCAAUCUGUGGUUUUAAAUUAGGUUUGCCAAAAGCUACAUAAAACAAUCAGAUAUGCACAAUCAAAGCUGUUGACAGCCAUUUGCAAGCUGGAUUAUAAGGAGAUAAAGCUCAAUGAACAUUACUGCCAACAAAUAAUCUGAUUUGUUUCUGCCAUGAGUAUAGAGUACUUGAAAUAACUGACAGCACAUUUUUUGUAACAGUGUUGAUUUAAAAACAAAAACAAAACAAAAAAAAACCAACAAAAAAAACAAAUAGCCAUACCCUUCCUGUUACUUGAAGUCAGAAAAGACUGCUUAUAUCACCUACAAUUUUUCAAAUACUGACACAGGUCUUUUCAUGCCAACAAUUUUAUUUGUGUUCAUAAUUUUGAGGUAUAACAGCACUCCAGUUGUUAUCAGACUCUAAAUAAAACCAGAAAAUGGUCUGUUUUAAAAAUUCUUGCUCAGCUCUUUAGUUAGCUUGUCCAAUUAUUGUCCUCCUUCAAUGGAGAAGAAUUAGGAAUCCAUUUUACUGGAAAUUCUAAUGCAUUUUUUAAAGGUUUCCAUUGUUUUGCCAUGAUGCCUUUCUCUUUGAAUCCUUAUGUUUGUCUAGGUGGCAAAAUGCAGUGUUAGUUCAACCAGCUCAUGUGUCAUACAGUCUCCAACCUUUUUGCUGACCUUCUCUGCACAGCUAACAUUUUGGAUCAGGCAGAACCCUUGGCAGCUAUAACAUCUCCUGAGAGCUCAGCCAGCUCAGGCAUCUCUGCAAAGGACUGCUUUGUGAUUUUGGUUUUGCAGUGAGAACAGCAUUUCCUACUCAUCAUUCUCUUUUAAUCUCCAGAUGACAACUGUGUUAGGCCUGAUGGACUGGUACAUUUGAGGUGGUUGAAUAUUAUUUUAUGAUUAUUUGUUAUUUUGAACCUCAGGAGAACUGGGGCCUACAAACAGUUAUGGUCAAAAGCUAUGCCUGAGGAUGAAAAAAACUCAGAAUAUAUUAAAGAUUCCAGAAUUGUAUAUGUUAUUGUAUAUGUUACAAAAUUUCUAUAUCUGACUAAAUUGUCAUUCUUGGAUUUAUGCUGCAAAGGAGAGUUUCAGCAACAUGACAAAUUUGUCAUAAAUUAUCCUUAUUAAAAUGUAAUAUUUUAAUGAGGAAACUUGGCAGAUGUGUUUCAUAUGCCAAUGUCACUUCCAGGUUCAUGUGCAGUCACUGCUUCCUACAACUCCAUUUUGUCAUUCACUGUUUAGGAUCUGAUUUUCAAUUUCCAUUGUUUUCAACUGAAAUUAGAUAAAUAUGCCAGAGAAACAAAUCUUAAAACUAAAUCCAGAAUUAUUACUAAUAGGAUAUUUAUAAAAGAAGCUAAUUUCUGUCACUCACAACCCUCUAAAUAUUAGCUAAAACAGGUGUGGGUCUUUUGCUACAAUAAAGGAGCCAGUCAGGAGAAAAUGGUAUGUUUGUCAGGUGAAUGCAUUCUGUACUGAGUGCAAAGAGCUCUCUUCAUCCUUAAUAAUAAUAAGAAGAAGAUGUUGCUAGUUUGCCAAAGUAAAUGUUAUUCUACAGCAAAAUUGUCUAUUAAAUGUGUUUUAAAUGGAUAUUUAAAUAGUAUUUUCAUUCCCUAGAUGUGCUCAAAUAUUUGCAGACUACACUGGAUUCAGUCCAAAUGUCCUUUCCUACAAACCAGUGUAUGAGUUUACACCCAGAGAUUGUUUUUGAUGGCGGUAUUUGUUCAUUCUUCUUCCUUGCAAAUAGAAUCAUCUUCCACGCUGCUAUUUUGGAUGUAAAUAUUGCUGUUAACCUUGUCUUAUCAUGGUAACAUUCUGUAUGGGGUCAGUGAGAAAAUAAUCCCCCCAAACAUAUGAUGACUGAAGGUAUUUGCUUACACUGCUUCUUGUGGUUUCUCUGUUUGUAGCUCUUGUGCUGUCCUUGCAUGAAGUCUUUGUCCUCAGAACCAUGGGAAAUGUUAGCCUAGAUCUUGAACAAAAUUAAUAAUUUUAUAAAUAUUAUAAUUAUACAAUGAGACAUAUUGUUACUCCAUGUGUGGGAGAUCAUCACAGCAGCUCAGAACCUUGGCUAUCUAUGAUCAAGGAUUCUUUGUUGUUGAUAAAACUGUAUUUUUGCUUGAUUUGACAAAGCUAAAUGGCGUUAAGUAGGAGAGUUCAACUGGAUCCCUUGGAACAGAUACAACAUCCAUUGGAUCUCAUUCUUGAGCAGACCAGGUGUCAAGUGCAUAAGAAUACCUGAUAUCUGUGUCCAUUAAUCAUUUUUCACUCCCUUUAGUCCAAUUAAGUAAUGUUUAGUAGGAAGAAAAAGAAGAAUUAGAAACAGCAAAGGUAAAAAACUUUUCAUUCCUUUCAGGUGCAGUUAUUUGAAGUCAGUUUGAACAGUUUCAGAAUUUGGACCUUCUCAUAUAUUUUGCAAGUGAUCAGUUUAAAACCCUGCCUGCCGACAGUCCCAGUGGGGCAGAACACAAAGUGUGACAGACACAUUUACAUGUCAUUAGAGAUGAUGAAUUAUAAAUCACCACAAAGCAUCACUGUCAUAAGAGGAAGUGGUCACGUUUCAAUUGUCUUAAUGCUGCAGUAAACAUAUGACAAGGCAUUGUGAUCAGGUUGCGAUUUUUUGGGGUAAAAUCUAGUUUUUGCUCUGAGUAAUCUUGCAAGAGCAAAACGUGACUUUUUACUGAAGAAAGGUGAAAUUCAUGGUGUUUUAAAAUUACAUUACUGAAAUAUAAGUACACCCACCAGAACCAAAAAUGUUGACUAUGGCGGUUUUAGAGUACCUAGCACAACAAAAUAUAUUUUUAUUUGUAGGAGCUACAGUAGCAAACAUCAUUUAUAUAAACAAAGGCAAUAUAGUCCCACAACAUCUGAUGUCUUUACUUGAGCUAAAAAUUCUCUGUAUAAAGAAGCAUUUUUGUCUUUGUUACCCUCGGAACUCAGGCCAGGCUUAGUAACUCCAUGGUCACUCUAACUCAGUGGAGGCUGAAUUCAUGACAAAGCUUUACCCAGCUGCAUGCUGUGGAGGCUGGUAGCUGGUGGCUUCCUAGCUAAACUUCUGCCUGAGUGGGUUUAAAUCCCCAGUUCCUGUCAGACUAAAAUAGCUGCUAGGCAGUUUGUAUUUCUGAGCUAAUGCUCAUUGAAAUCCACUUGUGUGAUUCCCCUUUGUGUGGACUGACUUCCUAAUAGUUCAGAGGGAGUAAACACAGACUGAAAACUACAGGGCAUGUGGAGAGCAAGGGCUGGAUUUCAGUUCCUUUUCCAGUGAAGGUUUAAAAAAAUUUCUAAAUGAUACUGGAGUAAAAAUACAAAAGACAGUGGAGCAGUAAAAGGGAAAUGGGUUCCUGACCAAAGGAAAAUUUCCUCACCUUUUAACCAUGCUCAAGACCAUUCUCUGUCCAAAGACAUACUUAAAUACUCUGUGUGAAGCUGAACCACCUCCAAAAAAGAGACCAAUAAAUGUAGUAAACAGCUUACAGGUGUGGCUCAGCACAGACGUGAUGGAGCUAAUAUCUGAGGCGCAAAAUCAAGAGAGAGAAAAAGGAGAUGACAAGGAUGAAUGACAGAAAUGGAGGUGCGAGGAGGUGGAGGAGUUGUUGGCAUGGAAGCCAGUUCAUAAAAGCAGAACACCGUGUUCAUUUUCCUUGUAAGGUCCAACCCAGCAGAUGUACAUUGAGUCCAUCAGAUCAGGCCUCACAGAUGAGCCAGAGCAAUAAUGAGUUCCCAGAAGGGCUUAAGGAGCUACAAGUUUUGUAGCUCUGGCUUGUCAUAUUGUAGGCACUCCAUACAUCCCCAGAAGCAAACCCUACCCCCUCUUUCCUUCCAGGGCAUCACAGUCCAAGUGCCACAGACCUCUGGGAACAGUUAUGGGUCUUGAGGAAUGAAAUUGCUCAAAUUCCUGCCUUAAAUUCCUACGUUGGCAGUUAGCCUGAUUGUAGAUUUGGCAGGCAAAUAGUCCUGUUCAUGUUCCCACUCUUUUGAACUAUUAAUGCAGAUUGUAAAGAUUUUUUUUUUCUAUCUUGCUUUGAGAUGCCAAAGUUCAGUUGUAAAAUGAAAGAACCCAGAAGAGAAAAAGACAUUGCUCUGUUGUCAAGCAUAACCUCACCUCUCAAGCAUUUGGGAGCCUGAAGGGCUUGGAGUUAAAAUGAAGAAGAGCGUCUAACAUUCACGGAAACAUAUAUUUCCUCCCUCAUUCUUUUAUUUACUUUGGUAAGAAGUAUACAGAAACAAGACAAAUAUGUUGAAACUAUUCAUGUGGAACUGAUUUCUGCAGGAAAAGCUGUGAGAUAACUGCAGGAACCCAAGUAAAGAUCAGAUUCUGCCUCUCUGAUGUGCUGAUGGGAGUCUGUGUGACAGGUGAUGAAAUGCAAUGGGACACACAGAAUUCAGCUGCCGAAAAGUCCACAGUCUGGUUACACAGGGCAGAACAAACACCAGCUAGGACAGAAAUCUGAACCCUCAUCCAAUGAAUAACAAAAACAGAGGGAAGAUGAGGUGGAACUACCAAGGAAAGCACAGGUGAAAAAUCAUGACCUAUGUUUUGUGGCAAGCAGAUGCCAACCUCUCCAAUGCAAGACGGAAGCCAUCAGCUUCUGGACCUUACCAUUGUACAAUGCGUGAUUGUAUCAACAGCUGGGACACGUGCCGGGGAUGAACGAAGCAAGUUGGAGCCAGAUGAUAAUGUUUUUCCACUCUCAGGGAGUGUGUGAUUCUUCUUGAGGAAGAGCCUGUCUGAAACCCCUGGAUUCCGUGGUAGCUCAGCCUAUGACACACUCAAGUAUAUAGCUGCAGCCCUUAAAAUGUAAUGAGUCCCUACUGUACAGUGAAACAAUUCCAGACAUACAUAUGCAACAUGGGAAGAACCAGGUGCCAAAAAAUUCUCUUCUGUCUGGCCAUAAACUUCAAAAAUAUUCUCUCUAAAAGGUAAAAAUCUGAUGAACUCUAUAACAAAAACUUUGUUUAUGUAUGUUCACAUCUACCAUAUUUAACUUCAGAAUGUAACUACCUUCAGACAAAAGUUGUGGGGUUUUGGGUUUGGUAUUGUGUUUGUUUGUUUUAAUAAUAGAAAAGGACAUAAAUCCUCCAAGAGGCCGUUGGAAAAAAGCAUAUAGUUUUUAUGCCUAUGAAUGUAUGAACACGUAUGUAAAUCCAGAGUUAUACUGGACUUUUAAUAAUAUCUGGUUCAGCCGAUGGUGACUAGCAGAAAAGAGCUAUCCAGCUUCACUGACAGCUCCCAAAUUCACUUGUGGAGGAGAGUAGAGAAAGGCAAGAAGGUACAACCUACCAAGCAGAGACUGAGAGGUGACAUGUCUGGACAAAGAUGACAGAAGUGCAAAAAAACAAGUAACAUUCAAAGCAUGGUUUGGGUGGUGUAAACAUCUUGCAUGUCAUUUUCAUCAGCUUUAGAUACAUUUUACACACUGUAUUUGAAAUUAAAAACAAACAAUCAAACAAAAUGAACAAAAUAAAACAAAACAACAACAACAAAACAUGUUUUCUCUCAAAAGCUCUCUCUCCAGAAAUGUAUGAUGCUUUCUGGCUGUAAGAAAUAACAGAGCUCACAUUAGAAAACCCAAAUGGUUCUAAAGGUUCUAAAUGGUUCUGACUGCCAGACAUUUUUAUUAUUAUAUUUUUUUUAAGUAGCUAAUCUCAAGCUUAAAAUUGCCCACAGUCUCCUGAACUGUCUACAAGACUGAUAGAUAAGUAGAAGAAAGGAUGGUCUCUAGAGAGCUAAUCUUGCAGCUAGUAAUCUUUUGGGUUUUCAUCCAAAUAGAAUUGGAGACCAGGUUUUAUAUGAAGAACGAUUAAAUUGCCUAUGUAAAGCUCAGAUUAGGAAUAAUAAAUAUAUAAAUAUAUAAAUAAUAUAUAAAUAUAUAAAUAUAUAAAUAGACAUGGGGAAAACAGGAAAGAAAAAGAAAAAAAGAAAGAGGAGGAAAAAAUAUUUUAGUGGGAAACAAAUUCACAAAUCUACUGUUUCAUUAAAAUCUAUACAUUAGAGUGGAAGAAUUUGUUUUAUUUUGUUUUGUUUUUACUGCAUGCAAUUUCCAUGGACAUAAUGUAAAUUACAGCAAAUUGAUUUCAUACAGAAAAUCUGAUGCAUCUGAUGUAUAGAUUGUACUUAAACCAGUAAAUCCACACGUAUUUUUGGUUUGUGCAUUAACUUGCAUCUCCUUAUUUUUGUGUUCACCCCCAAUAGCUAAACUGUAUAAAAAUAUCCGUAUACUCUUUAGAAAUACCAUGUAAAUGUGAGAAAUAUUAUAUGUGAGUCACAAAAGAAGAAAAAUUAGUUUUUAAAUCUUAAGUAAACCUAGAUUAAGAUUCUAAUGACUCAGUGGCAAACUAUGAGAAUAUUUUGGUUGAAGAGGAAAAGAAAAUUCCCAAGAGUAACAUUGAUUUUAUGUGUAUGCUGGAGAAGUUAGAGGGGGAAGCAUGGCAAAGACUUGAGAAAGGCAAAGCUGGCAGCAAUAUUAAAUCACAGGCUGAAGUAGUUCAUUUUUGUAUGAAACGGUAGCUCAUAUUGUGGAUUUAUAAAAUAUAUGUAUUUUUCAGAAGAAGCAAAGUGAAAAUGAGGUUGCAAAGUGUUAAUGAGGUCAGAUCUUCCUAAAGUCAGCCAGGCUUUGGUAGUCUAAGAAGAGAGAAAAAAAAUACAAAUAUUAGCUGCCAAGUUGUUAAACGACUAUGAUUUUGGCAUAGUCUGUCUGAUCAUAUGAUGCACAUUCUACUAGCGAAAUCAGAGUUGUGUAAAUUCUUGCAAAGUAUUUUUAGAAAACUAUGAAGAAUUGUCUGAGAGCAAAUCAGAAGACAGAAUUGCCCUACAGACAUUUUAAUUUCAUUGUGAGAUAUCUGAGAAAACUUGUAGGAAAAAUAACAACCAUCUCUAAAAAGGCUACAAUAAAUCACUGCGUAUAAAUUUUCCAUUCUUUGUAUUGUUCCUGCCUACGGUUUGUCAUUUAAUUUCUACAAGUAUUGUGAGAAAUCACUUUGCCUGGAAGAUUUUCAGGGCUUCUAUUGCUUUUUGGAAACUUAAAAUCCCUAUGUGACUCCGUAGCCCAAACUCUAGUUCUGCUCUUAAAGCUGAAAGUUUGAUGAACUCUCACUGUUCUGUUCUUGUGCUGUGGUAGUGUUUUGCUGUUGUCAUGAUUAUUUCAAGCCUAAAGGAGGCAUCCUGAUUAUCAGGUCCACAUAUAAGAUCUUGGCAGGAGUGCAGGUUGCUGCUCUGUUGCUGGAGACCAUCCCGUCUCUAUUCUCAAAGGGUUUUUGCACAUCUCCCAGACUACACAUGGGUAUCACUGCUGGAUGAAUAAGGCAAAAGUUAAUCCAGAUGAAGAUGACAGCUUUGAAAUAGCUUGUGAUAGCUUGAAACAGUUGGUGUUCAAUGCUUCAAUGUUUUUGUUUGUUUUUUUUAUCCCCAUGAUACAUUGUUAUUAGAGGGAAUUUUGUGAGAUGAUGCAUUUUUCCUAAGUGGUAAUGAGAUACAUCCCUAUUUCAGCUGAAGGUCUAUAAUGCCUUUUUAUGAAAUAAUCAGCACUUUUACACUAUUAACACCUAAGAUAGUCCUACAUGAUAUUGUUUCUGGUGAUAAAAUAACCUCAAAAGAGGUUUGUUUGUUUCCUUUUUUUUUUUUUUUUUUU